rnacentral:rRNA from 1 species
CCUACGGGGGGCAGCAGUGAGGAAUUUUGCGCAAUGGGGGAAACCCUGACGCAGCAACGCCGCGUGAGUGAUGAAGGCUUUCGGGUCGUAAAGCUCUGUCAAGUGGGAAGAACCCACAUGGUGUUAAUACAACUAUGUGCUGACGGUACCACUGAAGGAAGCACCGGCUAACUCCGUGCCAGCAGCCGCGGUAAUACGGGGGGUGCAAGCGUUAUUCGGAAUUACUGGGCGUAAAGGGCGCGUAGGCGGUCCUGUAAGUCAGAUGUGAAAGCCCGGGGCUCAACCCCGGAAGUGCAUUUGAUACUAUAGGACUUGAGUAUGGGAGAGGGAAGUGGAAUUCCUGGUGUAGCGGUGAAAUGCGUAGAUAUCAGGAGGAACACCGGUGGCGAAGGCGACUUCCUGGACCAAUACUGACGCUGAUGCGCGAAGGCGUGGGGAGCAAACAGGAUUAGAUACCCUAGUAGUC